UACGAAGGGGGCUAGCGUUGCUCGGAAUUACUGGGCGUAAAGCGCACGUAGGCGGCUUUUUAAGUCAGGGGUGAAAUCCUGGAGCUCAACUCCAGAACUGCCUUUGAUACUGCCGUGCUUGAGGACUGGAGAGGAGACUGGAAUUUACGGUGUAGCGGUGAAAUGCGUAGAUAUCGUAAGGAAGACCAGUGGCGAAGGCGGGUCUCUGGACAGUUCCUGACGCUGAGGCACGAAGGUCAGGGGAGCAAACGGG
rnacentral:rRNA from 1 species